CUAAAGGCUCUUUUCAGAGCCACCUAAGUUGUCAAAACAGAGCUGG
rfam:Cricetulus griseus cell line CHO-K1, whole genome shotgun sequence.